UACAGAGGUCUCAAGCGUUGUUCGGAUUCAUUGGGCGUAAAGGGUGCGUAGGUGGCGCGGUAAGUCGGGUGUGAAAUUUCGGAGCUUAACUCCGAAACUGCAUUCGAUACUGCCGUGCUUGAGGACUGGAGAGGAGACUGGAAUUUACGGUGUAGCGGUGAAAUGCGUAGAUAUCGUAAGGAAGACCAGUGGCGAAGGCGGGUCGUCUGGACAGUUCCUGACGCUGAGGCACGAAGGCCAGGGGAGCAAACGGG
rnacentral:rRNA from 1 species